UGCAAGUCGAGCGGACAGAUGGGAGCUUGCUCCCUGAUGUUAGCGGCGGACGGGUGAGUAACACGUGGGUAACCUGCCUGUAAGACUGGGAUAACUCCGGGAAACCGGGGCUAAUACCGGAUGCUUGUUUGAACCGCAUGGUUCAAACAUAAAAGGUGGCUUCGGCUACCACUUACAGAUGGACCCGCGGCGCAUUAGCUAGUUGGUGAGGUAACGGCUCACCAAGGCAACGAUGCGUAGCCGACCUGAGAGGGUGAUCGGCCACACUGGGACUGAGACACGGCCCAGACUCCUACGGGAGGCAGCAGUAGGGAAUCUUCCGCAAUGGACGAAAGUCUGACGGAGCAACGCCGCGUGAGUGAUGAAGGUUUUCGGAUCGUAAAGCUCUGUUGUUAGGGAAGAACAAGUACCGUUCGAAUAGGGCGGUACCUUGACGGUACCUAACCAGAAAGCCACGGCUAACUACGUGCCAGCAGCCGCGGUAAUACGUAGGUGGCAAGCGUUGUCCGGAAUUAUUGGGCGUAAAGGGCUCGCAGGCGGUUCCUUAAGUCUGAUGUGAAAGCCCCCGGCUCAACCGGGGAGGGUCAUUGGAAACUGGGGAACUUGAGUGCAGAAGAGGAGAGUGGAAUUCCACGUGUAGCGGUGAAAUGCGUAGAGAUGUGGAGGAACACCAGUGGCGAAGGCGACUCUCUGGUCUGUAACUGACGCUGAGGAGCGAAAGCGUGGGGAGCGAACAGGAUUAGAUACCCUGGUAGUCCACGCCGUAAACGAUGAGUGCUAAGUGUUUAGGGGGUUUCCGCCCCUUAGUGCUGCAGCUAACGCAUUAAGCACUCCGCCUGGGGAGUACGGUCGCAAGACUGANCUCAAGGAAUUGACGGGGGCCCGCACAAGCGGUGAGCAUGGUGGUUUAAUUCGAAGCAACGCGAGA
rnacentral:rRNA from 1 species